rnacentral:rRNA from 1 species
CUGGCUCAGAACGAACGCUGGUGGCGUGUCUUAUACAUGCAAGUCGAGCGAGGCAGCAAUGCCGAGCGGCGAACGGGUGAGUAACGCGUAAGCAAUCUGCCCCAUAUCAGGAAAUACCCGUGCCAACGCGCGGUUAAUGUCCAGGAGAGUGGCCCUCUGCAUGGAGGGUUGACUAGAGAUUUAUCGGUAUGGGAUGAGCUUGCGUCCGAUUAGCUAGUUGGCGGGGCAACGGCCCACCAAGGCGACGAUCGGUAGCCGGCCUGAGAGGGUGAUCGGCCACAUUGGGACUGAGAUACGGCCCAGACUCCUACGGGAGGCAGCAGUAGGGAAUAUUGCACAAUGGGGGAAACCCUGAUGCAGCAACGCCACGUGUGGGAAGAAGCAUUUCGGUGUGUAAACCACUGUCAUGAGGGAAUAAGGCCCUUAUUCGUAAGGGACUUGAAUGUACCUUGAGAGGAAGCACCGGCAAACUUCGUGCCAGCAGCCGC